rnacentral:lncRNA from 1 species
UCUGUUUGUACCCAUUUCUUUCCUCGUCUUCCAAUUGUUUAUGUUCCACCUCCUUACUUCAGGUGCCGUAGAGCCAAAAAUGCUUUGGAGUCAGGUAAAUUCUUUGUACUACCAGGGUUGCCACGGUCAGGGAAUUCAGGGAAAAUCUGGAAAAGGGUGGGGGGAAAAAAAGUGCUCUGGAAAACCUGGAAAAGUCGGGGAAUUUGACCAAAACAGCUAAAAGUCAGGGAAAAAUUGACAAUUUUCACGAGUUGCUUAAAAUCUUUCUUUUUUCGGUUUUUAAAAGAAAAAGUUAACAAUCCUUUCCGUAUUUCCAAAUGUUCUACAAUUAAUUUUUGACUCCUUAGCUUAAGCGUGUUUCAAAUGAGACGCUAUAUUAGUGCGAUGGUAGCUAGCAAGGUGUAAAUUUGGCUGUGCGAUCAUGGCGCGCGUUCUCAAAGGUCAGGAAAUUUCUCCAUUUUCGUCAGGGAAAACCUGGAAAAGUCAGGGUAAAUCAUUUCCAAAUUUUUGUGGCAACCCUGUACUACCACCUGCAUUCAUUAUCUAUUUAUUAAGGUUAUUUUACUUCGUUUUGUUACAGACAAGAAUGUAAAAGAAAAAACAUUGGAAAGGAUGCGGAGAAAAAAAGAUGACUCCCUCGGGGUUAUCCUCAAUUUGCUAGAGGCGAUGAGGGAUCAAACUUGUGUCAUUAGUCUAACUGCUAUUCUACACGCCUGUGUCCACGAAUCACCUAAAUCAGGAGCAGCCGUGAAACAGAUGAUAGACUGCAACGGGACAGUGAUCCUGACUAAACUGUUGAUCUCUCUACAAGCAAGGGAGCCGCAUACCUGUGAUUCUUUUUUACACCCUCUAAUCUCGAUUUUAAGCCAGAUCUCGCAGAAAGAUCAAAAAUUUGCCUCGAAAGUAAGACUGAUCAAUGGUGUCAAAACUUUUCACCACUUUCUGCGGACAUAUACGUAUAAUCACAAUAAGCUUCUGCUUCCAAAUCUACUCAUUAUUCGAACUUUAGUAUUAAAUAGUAAGUUGAUGCAUAGUUUUUUAUCUCUUUCGUCGUUGGUUUUUUUUCUCCUUCUUUCAAGGUUUGUCACUGAAGAUAACUUAAAUGGAGUUGUCAGAAUAAGAAAUUACAGUUUACCUCUUUUUCAAAUAGGUAGUAGAGAAUUUCUUACCUCACCAGGAUGCAGAG